rnacentral:tRNA from 2 species
GCUCCCGUGGUGAAACGGAUAUCACGGCGGUCUUCGGAACCGUUGUUCUAGGUUCGAAUCCUGGCGGGAGCA